UACGUAGGGUGCAAGCGUUGUCCGGAAUUAUUGGGCGUAAAGAGCUCGUAGGCGGCUAGUCACGUCGGAUGUGAAAACCCGAGGCUCAACCUCGGGCCUGCAUUCGAUACGGGCUGGCUAGAGUACUGCAGGGGAGACUGGAAUUCCUGGUGUAGCGGUGAAAUGCGCAGAUAUCAGGAGGAACACCGGUGGCGAAGGCGGGGUCUCUGGGGCAGUAACUGACGCUGAGGAGCGAAAGCGUGGGGAGCGAACAGG
rnacentral:rRNA from 1 species